rnacentral:rRNA from 1 species
GACGAACCGUGCGAACGUUAUUCGGAAUCACUGGGCUUAAAGCGCGUGUAGGCGGGAGGGCACGUCCGUCGCUGAAAUCCCCCGGCUCAACCGGGGAACGGGCGCGGAUACGACCUUCCUGGAGGGGCGUAGGGGGACCUGGAACUUCCGGUGGAGCGGUGAAAUGCGUUGAGAUCGGAAGGAACGCCCGUGGCGAAAGCGGUCUGCUGGGCCGUUGCUGACGCUGAGGCGCGACAGCGUGGGGAGCAAACAGG